CACGCUGUAAACGAUGAGUGCUAGAUGUUGGGGGUCACACCUCGGUAUCGCCGUUAACACAUUAAGCACUCCGCCUGGGGAGUACGUGCGCAAGCAUGAAACUCAAAGGAAUUGACGGGGACCCGCACAAGCAGCGGAGCAUGUGGUUUAAUUCGAAGCAACGCGAAGAACCUUACCAGGGCUUGACAUACUUUUGCAGGGUCUAGAGAUAGACCUGUUCUCUUUUGAGACGAAAGUACAGGUGG
rnacentral:rRNA from 1 species